GACGCCGGGUAACGGCUUGCGGCGUGGAGCGGCUCUGGGGUCUCCACGGCGGCGAAGCGAGAGGAAGCGGGGUCGCCCUUCCCCCCGGGGCGGGUUGUUUCCGCAUGUGCCUGGCGGGCAGGCGGGCAGAUGGAUGUUAUGUUUGUGGUGUGAUGAGCCAUGUCAAAAUUGCCACUACAGGCUGGAACUGAGAGGAGCCAACCCACAAGCCAACUAACCAGCCUUUUUAGUGAGCUGUGCAAGCCAUGUGGGGCCCAGAAGGAGAAAAGUCAACACCUCUGCUGAGCCUACUGGCACACGGGCUGAGACUCACACUCCCAUCCCCCACCCUGGUAAGCAACAAUCUGGUUUGGAGGACAAAUGGAAUUGGUGGCAACUGAAGUACAAGGAGUAGCUGAGUGCUUGUAUUGUUUGGUUGACUUUGCAAUCCUGGGGCCAGUGGUCUGAGCAUCUAUAGGGAGGGUAGCAGUGUGCAGUGUAGAAAAUAUGGGAGAUUUCUUUGUAUCUUGUUUUUGAAGUCCAAUAUUGUUCUCACUGUUUUGUUCUGAUUGUUUUGCUUUAUUCAAUAUUCUGUUUUGAUUGUUUUUAUUCUGUUUUGUUUGGGAUUGAUUUUGCUAUAUCUGAUGGAAUGGACAACUAUUGUGAAAAUAACAAGAUGUACUAUUGUAGCAACUGUUGUUUUCCUAUUGUCCUGGUUUGAAGUUCUGUACCAAUUUCACUGCUUGGUUUUGACUGGAUUUAUUCCAUUUUGUUUGUUGGGUUUUAUUAUCUUUGACAUAAAAUAAAAAGUAAAAUAAAAUUGUCACAACACA